rnacentral:rRNA from 1 species
GGUUGCGAUCAAACCAGCACUAAUGCACCGGAUCUCAUCUGAACUCCGCAGUUAAGCGCGCUUGGGGCGAUUCUAGUACGAGGAUGGGUGAACCCCCUGGGAAGUCCUCAUGUUGCAACCU